ACUCUAGUGAGGACUGCCGGUGACAAACCGGAGGAAGUGGGGAUGACGUCAAGUCCUCAUGGCCCUUAUGGGUAGGGCUUCACACGUCAUACAAUGGUCGGUACAGAGGGUUGCCAAGCCGCGAGGUGGAGCCAAUCCCUUAAAGCCGAUCGUAGUCCGGAUCGUAGUCUGCAACUCGACUACGUGAAGUCGGAAUCGCUAGUAAUCGCAGAUCAGCAUGCUGCGGUGAAUACGUUCCCGGGUCUU
rnacentral:rRNA from 1 species